AGAGCGAACGCUGGCGGCAGGCUUAACACAUGCAAGUCGAGCGGGCGUAGCAAUACGUCAGCGGCAGACGGGUGAGUAACGCGUGGGAACAUACCUUUUGGUUCGGAACAACCCAGGGAAACUUGGGCUAAAUACCGGAUAAGCCCUUACGGGGAAAGAUUUAUCGCCAAAAGAUUGGCCCGCGUCUGAUUAGCUAGUUGGUGAGGUAACGGCUCACCAAGGCGACGAUCAGUAGCUGGUCUGAGAGGAUGAUCAGCCACAUUGGGACUGAGACACGGCCCAAACUCCUACGGGAGGCAGCAGUGGGGAAUAUUGGACAAUGGGCGAAAGCCUGAUCCAGCAAUGCCGCGUGGUGAAGAAGGUCUUCGGAUUGUAAAGCCCUUUCGACGGGACGAUGAUGACGGUACCCGUAGAACGAAGCCCCGGCUAACUUCGCGCCAGCAGCCGC
rnacentral:rRNA from 1 species